AGUUAUAGACAAAAAUAAAGAGCGAUUUCGAUUGUCUCAUUUUUUCGAUUAUAAAUUUUGUUGAUGCCGAUUUUGUCACUUUUGCGCGCAAGAAAUGUCAAAAUUUGAGUUGGUCGAACGUUUGACAUUUGCAAAAGUCGCUACAUUUUUGCGUCGAACAUGAUGCUUUGCAACAUUGCCGCAGUGAUUGAGACUCGAACAUCCCCUUUGUUUGAGUUUAUUUCAUGGUUAAAUGCUUUACGAUGGUUUAUUUAGUUAUUUGAAUCUGGAAGAAGUGUUUACAAAUUUCCCUUGGAACGAUAAACAUCAGAUCGGCUGAUAUUUUAUUCCAAUAAAAGUACGAAAUAACUAAGCAUGGCCUUGUUAAUAUUGCUGCGUAAUGGGUCAGGCGCUGUUCCAAUUUUAUGAUUUAAGAGAUUAAAAAGCGAUACGCGAUGCUGUGAAGUACUCAAAUGUAGUUUUCAAAUUAGUUGGUCGUGAAUUCGAGACAAAAUUUUAAACUCAAUGACGUGCUCGUGGAAGGUGCACGUCGCAUUGCUAAAAUCAGCAAAGGAGCUGGUGUAGAACGCUAGUCCCAAACCAAUGAGCUUUGUGCUUGAGGGUGGAAGCAACUUUUUGAGGAGCUAAUACUACGGUGAGCACAUUCGGAUGUUGUACAAGCUAUUGUCAAUUGCGCUAAGGAUCCCGAUACUGCUGGUCAGGUUUAUCAAGCUGUUGGCGUUACCCGUUAAGCGAAUUAAUUGAAACCAGUCAAUCGUGUUAUCCGCAAAACUUAAAAAUGCGUUGUAUCCUAACUUCCUAUUGAAAGCCAAGUCGUUUGGAUGCACAAUUGACCUCCAUGGAAGAGCAAGUACCAUGGAAAUUGCGACCAUAUCGUGCUGCGCAAUAUUAUGAUGCCGAAUUGGAAGAGUGGGAGGAACCAGCUCCACCAAAAUCGAUACGUAUAUACGUAACUACGUAUGUUUGCAUAAAACUACUAUAAUGGCAACAACGCUAACAACAACAACCAAGCAAAUAUUAAACAACACUCAUCAAAUGAAAGUUGGUGGCGUUGGUGGCCAAGCCUGAGUAUAUACAGUAAUAAACCUUUUCUUUGUUUACAUACAUAUACUCACCUCUAGAAAAUCUUAGGGUGUUGUGUUACACUUUUUUUUGCUACUUUCAUGGUAAUCAGGUUGUUGUGUUAGCAUUUAAACUACCUAUAAAUUUUAAAUUUUGAUGACCGAGACUUUAAAAGAUAUUACAUAAUGCAAGCGUUUACGUUAUUUAAGUGAUUAUAUUGAAUUACUUUGGAUAUCUGUUCAAUUUUAUUGGGAUAUUAGUUAUUAUUUAAAGUUAAAUCAGUUGUUUUUUUGUGCAAUUUUUAAACACGCUUCAAGUAUUUCCAAAUUUUUGCAUGCAGAAGGAUACAAUCCUGGGUGGUAAUUUGUCGUUUGACUUAUACAAAAUGACGACUCGUUUGCCGUUAUAAGAAAACAUCAAUUGGAAAUUGAGUUUAAA